rnacentral:misc_RNA from 1 species
UUGCGUUUGCGUUAAACUUUGUCUAGACAGUCUAGAGUCUAGGCUCUCUCAUCGAUUGCUUUUUAGAAAAGCAAGUUAUAAUCAAAUACCUCUGAUACCGGACCAUGGUCUAUAUAGUAGUAAUGCAUUAGAAAGUAAAACCGUCGCGUGCAAACCAUCGUCCAUGUUUCUUGUCCGGUCCGCGAGCAAGUACGGUUGCCGAUUCUCACCUUUGCACAGGCAAAUCAGCCGAGCCGCAAACUUAUCGAGUAACGGCAGCCAUCUUUGCUGCUCAGAAACGGGCUGUGGUUUGUGACAGAGAGACGGUAGUGGUUCUUCAUGCAGUUCACGAGACCAUCCCGUCGCCUAUGUACCCUACAAGAGAUUGGAAAUCAUUCUUAAGUGUGGCUAACUAGAAGAAUUAACGAACUCGUGUCACGAAUCCGGGCUACCGAAAUAUGGCAAUGGAGACGCCAAGGGAGCGUGAGAUCGCCGCGGAGGACAGUAUUAAGGUAGUCUGCAGGUUUCGACCUUUGAACGACUCCGAGGAAAAGGCUGGCUCUAAGUUCAUCGUGAAAUUUCCCUCCGGCGGCGAGGAAAAUUGCAUCUCCAUCGGGGGAAAAGUAUAUCUUUUUGACAAAGUAUUUAAACCAAAUGCUACUCAAGACAAAGUAUACAAUGAAGCAGCUAGAUCAAUUGUCACAGAUGUGUUGGCAGGAUACAAUGGCACUAUUUUUGCAUAUGGUCAAACAUCUUCAGGGAAAACGCACACAAUGGAAGGUGUUAUUGGAGAUCCAAAUAAACAGGGUAUUAUUCCCAGAAUUGUUAACGACAUUUUCAAUCAUAUUUAUGGUAUGGAAGAAAAUUUGGAAUUUCAUAUCAAGGUAUCAUAUUUUGAAAUCUAUAUGGAUAAAAUCAGAGAUCUUCUUGAUGUGUCUAAAGUGAAUUUAAGUGUACAUGAAGACAAAAACCGAGUUCCAUUCGUGAAAGGAGCGACAGAGCGCUUUGUAUCUAGUCCCGAAGAAGUGUUCGAAGUUAUAGAGGAAGGAAAAUCGAAUAGGCAUAUUGCUGUGACUAAUAUGAAUGAGCACAGUUCGCGUUCUCAUUCUGUGUUCUUGAUAAACGUUAAACAAGAAAAUUUAGAAAAUCAAAAAAAGCUUUCCGGAAAGUUAUACCUUGUUGACUUGGCUGGUUCAGAAAAGGUCUCUAAAACUGGAGCAGAAGGCACCGUGCUCGAUGAAGCGAAAAAUAUUAAUAAAUCGCUAUCAGCGCUUGGCAACGUAAUUUCAGCUUUAGCCGAUGGCAACAAAACUCACAUUCCUUAUCGUGAUUCAAAGUUAACUCGAAUUUUACAAGAAUCUCUUGGGGGCAAUGCUAGAACUACAAUUAUCAUUUGCUGCUCACCAGCUAGCUUUAACGAAUCCGAAACAAAAUCUACCUUAGAUUUUGGUAAACGUGCUAAGACUAUUAAGAAUGUUGUAUGCGUUAAUGAGGAAUUGACCGCUGAAGAAUGGAAACGUCGUUACGAGAGAGAAAAAGAAAAGGCAGCUAGAUUCAAAGGAAAAGUUGAAAAAUUGGAAGCUGAACUAUCACGUUGGCGUCAGGGUGAAACCGUUAAAAUAGAAGAACAAGUCAAUUUGGUUGAAGCACCAGAUGUUACAACACCAAUUAAUGUGUCCAUUGAAGGUAAAAUUGACGAUGGCCCAAUGCCAGCUACACCUGGUGGCAGCCUGAUGGCUGGUUCCUUGUCCAACGAAGAACGACAGAAACUGGAAGAAGAACGCGAAAGACUGUAUCAACAACUGGACGAUAAGGAUGAGGAAAUUAACCAGCAAUCGCAGUAUGUCGAGAAACUAAAAGAACAAAUGGACGAACAAGAAGAAUUGAUUGCUAGUGCAAGGCGGGACUACGAACAACUUCAACAAGAAAUGAAUCGAAUACAACACGAGAAUGAAAGUGCUAAAGAAGAAGUUAAAGAAGUUCUACAAGCACUCGAAGAACUGGCAGUUAAUUACGAUCAGAAAUCUCAGGAGGUUGAAAUGAAAAACAAAGAACAGGAAGCUUUAACGGAAGAAUUAUUAACGAAAGAAGUAGCAUUGAACACUACUACGUCAGAAUUACAGCAAUUGCGAGAUAUGUCCGCGCAUCAGCGAAAACGUAUCGCAGAAAUGUUAGCCAACUUCUUAAAAGAUUUGGGUGAAAUUGGAGUUGCUAUUGGCGGCGACGAGAACCUGAAGGUUGCGCCGGAAAGCAAUGGUAAACUUGAAGAGGAAUUCACAGUGGCGAGACUUUUCAUUAGCAAAAUGAAAUCAGAGGUGAAGAAUUUGGUACAACGUUGCCAAGGAUUAGAAAGUUUCCAAGUAGACUGUAACAAGAAAGUUGCUGAAUAUGAAAAAGACUUGGCCGAAUGUCGUCUACUCAUCUCGCAACACGAGGCUCGUAUGCAGACAUUAACGGAAUCGAUGAAGGUAGCAGAUGCACGUAAACGUACUUUGGAAGAGGAUGUCGAUGCUUUACGCGAAGAGUGUGCUAAGCUGAAGGCUGCGGAGCAGGUACAAGCAGUUACGAAUAAAGAAAAAGCGGAAGAAAAAGAAGCGGCGACGAAGAUGAGAGUGGCAUUGGAAGAACAAAUGGAUCAGUUGCGAGACGCUCAUCAGAAACAGGUUGCUGCGCUUAGAGACGAACUUUCUGAAAAGCAAGACUUAAUCAGCGAGCUCAAAGAUUUGAAUCAGAAAUUCACGUUAGCCCAUCAACAAAUGCAAGCUGACUACGAACGAUUAAAGCAGGAAGAAGCGAACAAGUCGGUGAAACUGCAAGAACUAAUCUUGCUUAAUGAACGCCGUGAACAAGCCAGAAAGGAUCUCAAGAGUCUGGAAGAAACGGUAGCCAAAGAACUUCAAACAUUACACAAUUUGCGUAAAUUAUUCGUCCAGGAUCUACAGACUAGAAUAAAGAAGACUAUGAACUCUGAGGAUAACGAAGACGACGUUGGAACGCUUACGCAGAAACAGAAGAUUUCAUUCCUCGAGAAUAAUUUGGAUCAACUUACAAAGGUCCACAAGCAACUUGUUAGGGAUAACGCUGACCUUCGCUGCGAAUUACCGAAGCUUGAAAAGAGACUGCGAGCUACGAUGGAACGAGUGAAAGCCCUUGAAACGGCAUUGCGAGACGCCAAGGAGGGCGCGAUGCGAGACCGUAAACGCUACCAGUUCGAGGUAGAUAGAAUCAAGGAAGCUGUCAGACAGAAAAGUUUGGCUCGUCGCGGACCUAGCGCACAGAUUGCUAAACCGAUCAGGGCCGGUCAACAUCACAACUUAAGCAACGUUAACGUUAUUAGAACAGGAAACCGUGAUACAAAUAAUUAAACAUCUACAUUGUGAUUGUGAAAUCGUGGGUUUGUUCGAUUUUGUACGAAAGGAAACGGUCCGGGACGCUCUACAUUUUAGAAUAUGGGUAACAACGUACAGUGAUCGUGAGCAUAAUGCCAAACCCUUCACUUUUACAGAAA